AAUCAGAGAUCUGAGAACCAAAAGGAACCCUUAAGAUUGGGCCUACCUUCCUUCCAAGGAGAGUCCUGGACCCUUUCAUAGAUAAGGAACAAAUGUGGAGAAGGCUAGAUGACAUACACAAUUUUGAAGAUCAAGAAGUCCACCAAAGAAGUUUUGAUUAAACCAACCUAAAUGAAUCCAGCUGCUAUGUCACGAGAACUCAAGCCACCCUGUGGAGAAUUCCACAAGGAGUGCAGCUGAGGCCUCCCAACAACAACCAGCACCAAUUUGCAAACCAUGUUUGAUGAAGAGUGGACAAUUGUGUAGAAAUGUGAUUGGACAAAAAGAGUGCGAUCUAAUGGCUCACCUUGGUCAUAAUGAGUGGAUCUGGCUUUACCCAGGGCUUCAGCCUUUAGCAUUUCACAUGAGGAAUAUCCACUGAGCUGGGGGUCAAGAGGCCUGACCUUUAAUCUUGGCUCUGCCCCAGGCAAGUGUGAACUUGGGUAAGAACACUGAGGCCAGGAAAUGUUGAGUGACGUGUCCAUACUCACAUAGCAUGGAAGAAUCAGAGGCCAUGGGGUCAGGACCUAUGGGCUUAGGAUAUACCGGAAGAGGCCUGAUUUCCAGUCGAGCAUUUGCCAAAAAUCAGCAGCGUGAUUUGGAGAGGGUCUCGCUAUGUUGCCCAGGCUGGUCUCAAACUUCUGCCUCAAGCAAUCCUCCAGUGUCCGGAAUUGGUGGGUUCUUGGUCUCACUGACUUCAAGAAUUAAGCCAUGGACCCUCGCAGUGAGUGUUACAGUUCUUAAAAGCGGCGUGUCCAGAGUUUGUUCUUUCUGAUGUUUGGAUGUUCAGAUGUGUUCGGAGUUUCUUCCUUCUGGCGGGUUCGUGGUCUCACUGGCUCAGGGGUGAAGCUGCAGACCUUCCUGGAUCCAAUCACUCAUCACAAGUGACACUGAAUUUGUUAUGCCUCUUCAGCCAUAUUUUUCUUUCAUGACACGGAUAUUUUUGAAGGAUACAGAUGGAGUCUUGCUCUAUUGCCCAGGAUGAAGUCCAGUAGCACAAUUUUGGCUCACUGCAACCUCCGCCUCCCAGGUUCAAGUGAUUCUCCUGCCUCAGCCUCCAGAGUAGCUGGGAUUACAGGCAUGCACCACCAUGCUUGGCUAAUUUUUUUUGUAUUUUUAGUAGAGACUGGGUUUUUCCAUGUUGGCCAGGCUGGUCUCGAACUCCUGACCUCAGGUGAUCUGCCUGCCUCUACCUCCCAAAGGGCUGGGAUUACAGGUGUGAGCCACUGCGCCCGGCUCAACUCUGAUAUCUUGAGUUGUGAUUUUUAUCUGCUUUUAAAAAAAUCAAUCUGAUCCUACCCAUUUUUUAUCUUUUUCUUUUAUUUUUUAUCCAAGUAAUAUAUUUAUAUUGUUUUAAAGAGCAAAAACUUUAUAAGUCUUGUAACUAAGAACCAUUAUUCCCUGCCCAUCUUGUUCCACACUUGAGCCCCAAGACCACCAGUUUCAACACUGAAAACUCUUUCUUUUAUUUCCAAGAAACAUUAUUAUAAAACUGCUUCAUGACUUUUCAAUUUCAUGUAGCUAUUGACUUCCCAUUAUGAAAGACGAGGACUUAAUUAUUUUUUUUUGAGACAGACUCUCACUCUGUCACCCAAGCUGGAGUGUGGUGGCAUGAUCUCGGCUCACUGCAGACUCUGUCUCCGCCUCCUGGGUUCAAACGAUUCUUCUGCCUCAGCCUUCUGAGUAGCUGGGACUACACGCGCACCAUGCCCGGCUAACUUUUGUAUUUUUAGUAGAGAUGGGGUUUCACCAUAUUGGCCAGGCUGAUCUCGAGCUCCUGACCUCGUGAUCUGCCCACCUUGGCCUCCCAAAGUGCUGGGAUUACAAGGCGUGAGCCACCGCGCCUGGCCACUUAAUUCUUAUACUUUUCCCCAACCCCAUCCUUCUCUCUAUUGAGACAAGACAAAAAUCUAUUGUUCACAUGAUGAUGACAUGUAAAUAUUAUUCACUGCUCAAAGCUGAGCCAUAGUGUAUUAUGAUGACAUUUCCUUACUUAUACACCUUUUUGUUUUUUUCUAGAAAUAAUAAUCACUUUAUUUAUUCAUUUAAUUUUUCUAUGUACUUACAAUAAAUUCAUCCCCAAACUUUCCUCUCAAAGAGUGCCACUCAGUAGGUGAAAACAGAUUGCUUGAUGUAUGAGGUUCACUUUUUUCUUGGAGACAUUGCCCCUGGAGCCUGCUGUGCCCCUGGGCUGUCGGGUCUGAUUGCUCUCUAGGCCUGCUGUGCACCAGGCUUCCCUUCCCCGGGAGUCUGGGAAUUCUGUCCACCUUUCUCCUGUGUUGGAAGCUCUAUGAUGAGGUGGAUUACUCUGGGUGUGAAAGAAGAUGUAUGGCUCCCGGCCCUUCAGCAUUGAGCACAUUCUUGUGUCUCCCAGUAUCAUUCAGGUUCUUGCCAACUCAGCACAAAAGGUGUGCUGGAGGGUGAGAGGGACACAGCAUCAAUGAAGCUGGAGCAGCAGGAACCAAAGGGGCUCCAGAGGCUGGAAAAAUCAUCUGUCCAGGAGGCCUCGCCUGCUGCUGACCCCACUGUGAACAUCUUGGCAUUACUUAUUUGGGAUUCAAAGUGCUGGGCAGAAAUAUCUGAUUGGCCAUGCCUAAGUCUUAUGGACACGAGGAAGGAAGAUUUCCUCCCUUCAACUCUUUUUUUUAGAGACAGGGUGUUGCCGCUGUGUCACCCAGGCUGGAGUGCAGUGGAGCAAUCUUAGCUCACUGCAGCCUCGACCUCCCAGGUUUAAGCGAUCGCGCUGCCUCAGCAUGCCACCAGGCCUGGAUAAUUUUUGUAUUUUCUUUUAUAGAGACGGGGUUUUGCUCUGUUGCCCAGACUGGUCUUGACAUCCUACGUGCAAGCAGUCUGCCUGUCUUGGCCUCCCAAAGUGCCUCCAUGCCUGGCCUCCCUUCAACUUUGGUGGUGAGGGAUGGUGCAUUAUAUCCACUUACACAGCCACCAUAGUUAUUUCCAUAGAUAGGAAGCAGGGAUUGGAAAUUGGGCAGCAAAACUAAAUGUAAAUAUCCAUCAUGCUCUUUGAUUGAAUCUGUUUCCCCAUCUAUAUAAUUUUAAAAAAUUCAUAUUGGUCUCAAAAAUGCAUUCAGCUUGAGGAUUAAAUGAGAUAAUUAGAAAACA